AACGAACGCUGGCGGCGUGCCUAACACAUGCAAGUCGAACGGGAGAACCCGCAAGGGUGAGUACAGUGGCGCACGGGUGCGUAACACGUGGGUAAUCUGCCCAGAAGCCCGGAAUAACUCCCCGAAAGGGGUGCUAAUGCCGGGUGAGACCACGGGGACUUCGGUUCCUGGGGGAAAAGGUGGCCUCUGUAUACAAGCUAUCACUUCUGGAUGAGCCCGCGGCCCAUCAGCUAGUUGGCGGGGUAAUGGCCCACCAAGGCUACGACGGGUAGGUGGUCUGAGAGGACGAUCAGCCACACUGGAACAGGGACACGGUCCAGGCUCCUACGGGAGGCAGCAGUGGGGAAUCUUGCGCAAAGGGCGAAAGCCUGACGCAGCAACGCCGCGUGUGUGAUGAAGGUCUUCGGAUCGUAAAGCACUGUCGGGAGGGACGAAUAAGGGCCGGGUGAACAAUCCGGUUCGACGACGGUACCUCCAGAGGAAGCACCGGCUAACUCUGUGCCAGCCGCCGCAGUAAAAC
rnacentral:rRNA from 1 species